UACGGAGGGUGCGAGCGUUGUCCGGAAUCACUGGGCGUAAAGGGCGCGUAGGCGGCCCUGGCAGUCGGUGGUGAAAGCCCGUGGCUCAACUGCGGGUCGCCACCGAUACUCCAGGGCUCGAGUUUGGUAGAGGCAGAUGGAAUUCCGGGUGUAGCGGUGGAAUGCGUAGAGAUCCGGAAGAACACCGGUGGCGAAGGCGGUCUGACUGGGCAGUAGCUGGACACUGAGGCGCGACAGCGUGGGGGAGCAACAGG
rnacentral:rRNA from 1 species